GAGUCCCGGGUCACACACACUCCUCGAAGAGAGCUGGAGCAGCGUUAAGUUUGCAGCCAACCUCGACCGAGAUUUCAAUUGAGCAGGAGGUCACAUUGCCCACCACACCAAGGCGGAUCAUGCUAGGAAGAAGUUUGACGUCUUCCACCCAUUGGAUGGUCAGCAUUGAGGG